rnacentral:rRNA from 1 species
ACGAAGGGGGCUAGCGUUGCUCGGAAUCACUGGGCGUAAAGGGCGCGUAGGCGGACAGCUAAGUCAGGGGUGAAAUCCCGAGGCUCAACCUCGGAAUUGCCCUUGAUACUGGUUGUCUUGAGAUCGGAAGAGGUAAGUGGAAUUGCGAGUGGAGGGGUUACAUUCGUAGAUAUUCCCAGGAGCACCAGUGGCGAGGGCUACUUACAGUUCCGUAUCCGACUCUGAUGCGCGAAAUCGUUGGUUACAAAAAG